UGGGGGGGUUAUGGGCUGUCUAUGCGGGGGUAUGGCGGUCUACCCUUGAUGGGGGGGUUAAUUCAAUGAAUGGGGGUUAAGUUGGGAUCUGGGCCCCCUCGUUCUGAUCGGGGCGUAAGUCCUAUAUGAAUGGGGUUAAUUGGGGGUCGGGCCCCUUCGUACAACGAUUUGGGUGGUAGAUCUUAAUGAAUGGGGUUAAUUGGGGUCGGGCUGCUCGUACCUAUGGGUCAUGGCCAUGGGGUCCCUAUGGGUCAUUGGCCAUGGGGCAUCUGUGGGGCGGCCAUAGGGUCCCUAUGGGCUGUGGCCUAUAGGGUGGCCAUGGAGUACCUAUGGGUCAUGGCCAUGGGGUUGGCUAUGGGUUGGCCAUGGGGUCAUGGCCAUGGGCUCUGUGGGGCGGCCAUGGGUCCCUCAUUGGACCAUAUAUAGGAUGGCCAUAAGGGUGGCCAUGGGGUCCCUAUGGGACAUAUAUGGGGUGGCUAAUAGGGUACCUAUGGGUUGUUUGGCCUAUAGGGUGGGCCCAUGGAGCUACCAUUGGGACAUAUAUGGGGUGGCCCAUGGAGUACCUAUG
rnacentral:lncRNA from 1 species